rnacentral:rRNA from 1 species
UACGAGGGGAGCUAGCGUUAUUCGGAAUUACUGGGCGUAAAGCGCACGUAGGCGGCUUUGUAAGUUAGAGGUGAAAGCCCAGAGCUCAACUCUGGAAUUGCCUUUAAGACUGCAUCGCUUGAAUCCAGGAGAGGUGAGUGGAAUUCCGAGUGUAGAGGUGAAAUUCGUAGAUAUUCGGAAGAACACCAGUGGCGAAGGCGGCUCACUGGACUGGUAUUGACGCUGAGGUG